rnacentral:rRNA from 1 species
AACGAACGCUGGCGGCAGGCUUAACACAUGCAAGUCGAGCGAUACCUUCGGGUCUAGCGGCGGACUGGUGAGUAACGCGUGGGAACGUGCCCUUCUCUACGGAAUAGCCCCGGGAAACUGGGAGUCAUACCGUAUACGCCCUUUGUGGGAAAUAUUUAUCGGGGAAGGAUCGGCCCGCGUUGGAUUAGUUAGUUGGUGGGGUAAUGGCCCACCAAGCCGACGAUCCAUAGCUGGUUUGAGAGGAUGAUCAGCCACACUGGGACUGAGACACGGCCCAGACUCCUACGGGAGGCAGCAGUGGGGAAUCUUAGACAAUGGGGGCAACCCUGAUCUAGCCAUGCCGCGUGAGUGAUGAAGGCCUUAGGGUUGUAAAGAUCGUUCAGCUGGGAAGAUAAUAACGGUACUAGCAGAAGAAGCCCCGGCUAACUCCGUG